rnacentral:tRNA from 1 species
ACUAUUUUGACAGAGAAGUGUAAUGGUUUUAGAAAUCAUGAAUAUAUAAUUUAUUUAUAUAGAUAGUA